rnacentral:rRNA from 1 species
UGGGGAAUAUUGCACAAUGGGCGCAAGCCUGAUGCAGCCAUGCCGCGUGUGUGAAGAAGGCCUUCGGGUUGUAAAGCACUUUCAGCGAGGAGGAAGGUGGUGAACUUAAUACGUUCAUCAAUUGACGUUACUCGCAGAAGAAGCACCGGCUAACUCCGUGCCAGCAGCCGCGGUAAUACGGAGGGUGCAAGCGUUAAUCGGAAUUACUGGGCGUAAAGCGCACGCAGGCGGUUUGUUAAGUCAGAUGUGAAAUCCCCGGGCUCAACCUGGGAACUGCAUUUGAAACUGGCAAGCUAGAGUCUCGUAGAGGGGGGUAGAAUUCCAGGUGUAGCGGUGAAAUGCGUAGAGAUCUGGAGGAAUACCGGUGGCGAAGGCGGCCCCCUGGACGAAGACUGACGCUCAGGUGCGAAAGCGUGGGGCAGCAAACAGGAUUAGAUACCCUGGUAGUCCAGCGCUGUAAACGAUGUCGAUUUGGAGGUUGUGCCCUUGAGGCGUGGCUUCCGGAGCUAACGCGUUAAAUCGACCGCCUGGGGAGUACGGCCGCAAGGUUAAAA